AACGAACGCUGGCGGCAUGCCUAACACAUGCAAGUCGAACGAGACCUUCGGGUCUAGUGGCGCACGGGUGCGUAACGCGUGGGAACCUGCCCUUAGGUUCGGAAUAACUCCCCGAAAGGGGUGCUAAUACCGGAUAAUGUCUUCGGACCAAAGAUUUAUCGCCUUUGGAUGGGCCCGCGUUGGAUUAGCUAGUUGGUAGGGUAAAAGCCUACCAAGGCGACGAUCCAUAGCUGGUUUGAGAGGAUGAUCAGCCACACUGGGACUGAGACACGGCCCAGACUCCUACGGGAGGCAGCAGUGGGGAAUAUUGGACAAUGGGCGAAAGCCUGAUCCAGCAAUGCCGCGUGAGUGAUGAAGGCCUUAGGGUUGUAAAGCUCUUUUACCCGGGAUGAUAAUGACGGUACCGGGAGAAUAAGCUCCGGCUAACUCCGUG
rnacentral:rRNA from 1 species